AGGUUAUCCCCCACCCCUCUCACCACACUCCCAUCCACAUUUCCAACCCCCACCAGGCUUUCCCACCCAGCAACAAGGAUCUCUCAUUGUUGCUAGCUAUGGUGGAGGAGGAGCUUCUUCUUACUAUCCACCACACCAGCCUCAAAUGUAUCACCAGUAUCAGCCUUAUGGCCAGUCUCCACAGAAUCAAUCCAAUGUUGGCUGCCUGGAAGGAUGGUAAGUUUCUAAAAAAACCACAGAGCUUAAGAACCAUCUAAGAUCCAAGGAAAAAAGGAGAAGAAAAGAAUAAUAAUCUGGUUUUACUGGUGCAGCCUAGCAGCAAUGUGCUGCUGCUGCCUUCUGGAUGCUUGCUUUUGAGCGCUGCU
rnacentral:lncRNA from 1 species